UUAAGCGACUAAGCGUACACGGUGGAUGCCCUGGCAGUCAGAGGCGAUGAAGGGCGUGCUAAUCUGCGAUAAGCGCCGGUAAGGUGAUAUGAACCGUUAUAACCGGCGAUACCCGAAUGGGGAAACCCAGUGUGACUCGUCACACUAUCAUUAACUGAAUCCAUAGGUUAAUGAGGCGAACCGGGGGAACUGAAACAUCUAAGUACCCCGAGGAAAAGAAAUCAACCGAGAUUCCCCCAGUAGCGGCGAGCGAACGGGGAGGAGCCCAGAGCCUGAAUCAGCAUGUGUGUUAGUGGAAGCGUCUGGAAAGGCGCGCGAUACAGGGUGACAGCCCCGUACACAAAAGCGCAUGUGCUGUGAGCUCGAUGAGUAGGGCGGGACACGUGGUAUCCUGUCUGAAUAUGGGGGGACCAUCCUCCAAGGCUAAAUACUCCUGACUGACCGAUAGUGAACCAGUACCGUGAGGGAAAGGCGAAAAGAACCCCGGCGAGGGGAGUGAAAAAGAACCUGAAACCGUGUACGUACAAGCAGUGGGAGCACAGGUUUACCUGUGUGACUGCGUACCUUUUGUAUAAUGGGUCAGCGACUUAUAUUCUGUAGCAAGGUUAACCGCAUAGGGGAGCCGGAGGGAAACCGAGUCUUAAUUGGGCGUUAAGUUGCAGGGUAUAGACCCGAAACCCGGUGAUCUAGCCAUGGGCAGGUUGAAGGUUGGGUAACACUAACUGGAGGACCGAACCGACUAAUGUUGAAAAAUUAGCGGAUGACCUGUGGCUGGGGGUGAAAGGCCAAUCAAACCGGGAGAUAGCUGGUUCUCCCCGAAAGCUAUUUAGGUAGCGCCUCGUGAAUUCAUCUCCGGGGGUAGAGCACUGUUUCGGCUAGGGGGCCAUCCCGGCUUACCAACCCGAUGCAAACUGCGAAUACCGGAGAAUGUUAUCACGGGAGACACACGGCGGGUGCUAACGUCCGUCGUGAAGAGGGAAACAACCCAGACCGCCAGCUAAGGUCCCAAAGUCAUGGUUAAGUGGGAAACGAUGUGGGAAGGCCCAGACAGCCAGGAUGUUGGCUUAGAAGCAGCCAUCAUUUAAAGAAAGCGUAAUAGCUCACUGGUCGAGUCGGCCUGCGCGGAAGAUGUAACGGGGCUAAACCAUGCACCGAAGCUGCGGCAGCGACGCUGAUGCGUUGUUGGGUAGGGGAGCGUUCUGUAAGCCUGUGAAGGUGGCCUGUGAGGGUUGCUGGAGGUAUCAGAAGUGCGAAUGCUGACAUAAGUAACGAUAAAGCGGGUGAAAAGCCCGCUCGCCGGAAGACCAAGGGUUCCUGUCCAACGUUAAUCGGGGCAGGGUGAGUCGACCCCUAAGGCGAGGCCGAAAGGCGUAGUCGAUGGGAAACGGGUUAAUAUUCCCGUACUUGGUGUUACUGCGAAGGGGGGACGGAGAAGGCUAUGUUGGCCGGGCGACGGUUGUCCCGGUUUAAGCGUGUAGGUGUGUGUUCCAGGUAAAUCCGGUUCACUUUAACACUGAGGCGUGAUGACGAGGCACUACGGUGCUGAAGCAACAAAUGCCCUGCUUCCAGGAAAAGCCUCUAAGCAUCAGGUAACAUCAAAUCGUACCCCAAACCGACACAGGUGGUCAGGUAGAGAAUACCAAGGCGCUUGAGAGAACUCGGGUGAAGGAACUAGGCAAAAUGGUGCCGUAACUUCGGGAGAAGGCACGCUGACACGUAGGUGAAGUGAUUUACUCAUGGAGCUGAAGUCAGUCGAAGAUACCAGCUGGCUGCAACUGUUUAUUAAAAACACAGCACUGUGCAAACACGAAAGUGGACGUAUACGGUGUGACGCCUGCCCGGUGCCGGAAGGUUAAUUGAUGGGGUCAGCGCAAGCGAAGCUCCUGAUCGAAGCCCCGGUAAACGGCGGCCGUAACUAUAACGGUCCUAAGGUAGCGAAAUUCCUUGUCGGGUAAGUUCCGACCUGCACGAAUGGCGUAAUGAUGGCCAGGCUGUCUCCACCCGAGACUCAGUGAAAUUGAACUCGCUGUGAAGAUGCAGUGUACCCGCGGCAAGACGGAAAGACCCCGUGAACCUUUACUAUAGCUUGACACUGAACAUUGAGCCUUGAUGUGUAGGAUAGGUGGGAGGCUUUGAAGUGUGGACGCCAGUCUGCAUGGAGCCGACCUUGAAAUACCACCCUUUAAUGUUUGAUGUUCUAACGUGGACCCGUUACCCGGGUUGCGGACAGUGUCUGGUGGGUAGUUUGACUGGGGCGGUCUCCUCCUAAAGAGUAACGGAGGAGCACGAAGGUUGGCUAAUCCUGGUCGGACAUCAGGAGGUUAGUGCAAUGGCAUAAGCCAGCUUGACUGCGAGCGUGACGGCGCGAGCAGGUGCGAAAGCAGGUCAUAGUGAUCCGGUGGUUCUGAAUGGAAGGGCCAUCGCUCAACGGAUAAAAGGUACUCCGGGGAUAACAGGCUGAUACCGCCCAAGAGUUCAUAUCGACGGCGGUGUUUGGCACCUCGAUGUCGGCUCAUCACAUCCUGGGGCUGAAGUAGGUCCCAAGGGUAUGGCUGUUCGCCAUUUAAAGUGGUACGCGAGCUGGGUUUAGAACGUCGUGAGACAGUUCGGUCCCUAUCUGCCGUGGGCGCUGGAGAACUGAGGGGGGCUGCUCCUAGUACGAGAGGACCGGAGUGGACGCAUCACUGGUGUUCGGGUUGUCAUGCCAAUGGCACUGCCCGGUAGCUAAAUGCGGAAGAGAUAAGUGCUGAAAGCAUCUAAGCACGAAACUUGCCCCGAGAUGAGUUCUCCCUGAGACUUAGAGUCUCCUGAAGGAACGUUGAAGACGACGACGUUGAUAGGCCGGGUGUGUAAGCGCAGCGAUGCGUUGAGCUAACCGGUACUAAUGAACCGUGAGGCUUAACCUU
rnacentral:rRNA from 1 species